UUUCUUUCUUCUCUUCACCAAACCCAGACGAUCUCGAAGCAUUUGGCGGAAUGCUCCAAGAAUAAGGAUACCCAUGUUAAUCAAUGAAGGGCUUCGGAGACGAAAUGCAUUUCUCCCAAUCUAAUCUGGGUAGAAUCGCGUUCAUGUUCUUAGCAAGGAGGACUUCAUCAUCUGGAGCUUGUGAUUGAUCCUCUCGCUUUUCUGCACAAAAGAUUGGGUGAGGGUUUUUAACUCCUUUGUUUGAUUUAUGAAUUAGGAGAACCCAAAUUUCUGAACUUUUCCUCAUGGUCCCCCUCGUUGGUGAUUCCAGGGCACUGAAUCUUGAAGGAACUAUAGCCUUUGUUUGCUGAAGCUUGUUUGUGGGUGUGGAGAGAUCAGCAACUUUGUGCAGUAACCAACUCUUUGCUUGAAUGCGUCAUUGCACAAGCAUAUUGAGUGGUGCAAACAAAAGCGGCAAUGAUCAAAGCCUCAAAGGUCUCUCGAAGCUUAUUUUUCUUUAAGGUGGCCGGAGACAAGAACAGCGACUAUACCGUAGCCAAGUAUCAGAACUCCAAGAUUUAAACUCAAGGGUGAGGCUUUCUUUUAUUUACCCAUUGGCUAUUUUGAGAAUAGGUGUUUUGGAAUGGAGAUCGGGACUGGCUCUUUUUGGCUAUGGUGUUUUGAAAGGAUGCAGGGGGUAAUUAUAUCUGGUGUUUAAGUGAAGUUGACAGAGUUCCUGUUAUCAUUUUUGUGUUGAAUCACGACCCUAUAUGGAAGCAAGGUCUGGA